ensembl:misc_RNA Metazoa_SRP Metazoan signal recognition particle RNA
GCCAGGCAUGGUGGCGCAUGCCUGUAAUCCCAGCUACCUGGGAGGAUGAGGCAUGAGAAUUGCUUGAACCCAGGAGGCGGAGGUUGCAGUGAGCCGAGAUUGUGCCACUGUACUCCAGCCUGGGUGAUAGAGCAAGACCCUGUCUCAA